rnacentral:rRNA from 1 species
AUUGAACGCUGGCGGCAGGCCUAACACAUGCAAGUCGAACGAGUGGCGGACGGGUGAGUAAUGUCUGGGAAUCUGGCUUAUGGAGGGGGAUAACUACGGGAAACUGUCGCUAAUACCGCGUACCAUAGGAUGAGCCCAAGUGGGAUUAGGUAGUAGGUGGGGUAAUGGCCUACCAAGGUGACGAUCUCUAGCUGGUCUGAGAGGAUGACCAGCAAAACCGGGACUGAGAGACGGCCCGGACUCCGACGGGAGGCAGCAGUGGGGAAUAUUGCACAAUGGGGGCAACCCUGACGCAGCCAUGCCGCGUGAAUGAAGAAGGCCUUCGGGUUGUAAAGUACUUUCGGUAUGGAGGCGUUACAUACAGAAGAAGCACCGGCUAACUCCGUGCCAGCAGCCGCGGUAAUAC